rnacentral:rRNA from 1 species
GACGAACGCUGGCGGCGUGCUUAACACAUGCAAGUCGAACGGAAAGGCCCUGCUUUUGUGGGGUGCUCGAGUGGCGAACGGGUGAGUAACACGUGAGUAACCUGCCCUUGACUUUGGGAUAACUUCAGGAAACUGGGGCUAAUACCGGAUAGGAGCUCCUGCUGCAUGGUGGGGGUUGGAAAGUUUCGGCGGUUGGGGAUGGACUCGCGGCUUAUCAGCUUGUUGGUGGGGUAGUGGCUUACCAAGGCUUUGACGGGUAGCCGGCCUGAGAGGGUGACCGGCCACAUUGGGACUGGGAAACGGCCCAGACUCCUACGGGAGGCAGCAGUGGGGAAUAUUGCACAAUGGGCGGAGGCCUGAUGCAGCAACGCCGCGUGCGGGAUGACGGCCUUCGGGUUGUAAACCGCUUUCGCCUGUGACGACGCGUGAGUGACGGUAAUGGGUAAAGAGGCACCGGCUAACUACGU